CCCCUCUCAGGGUCACACCUGGAGAGUUUCCAGUAUUGUACCAGACUCGGCUAGGGGAGGGUUAGUCGAGCAGAGGCCUACCCAUUCCAUUCCUAGCUUGGGCAGUAGCUAGCGAGUGGAAGGCAAUCUGCUACAAGU